GUCCUCGUAGCUCAACGGAUAGAGCGACUCCCUUCUAAGGAGUAGGUUGCGUGUUCGAUUCACGCCGAGGACGCCU
rnacentral:tRNA from 1 species